rnacentral:tRNA from 1 species
GAAGGUAUAGCUCAGUGGUAGAGUGCGCGGUUAGCAUGCAUGAGGUCCUGGGUUCAAUCCCAGCACCUCCG